UUCUAUUCCUUUGAGUUGUUUGCUUAUUGUCAGUAUCAAUAGACACAAACAAAUUAUUAUUAAGAAAAUUAGAGCAACAUGUAAUAGUCACUAAUUGUGGUAGAGAAGUCAGCAUGGUUGAAAUGCCAGUACUUGUAUCUCUGAUUUUUUAGCGUUGACAACCGCUACAUACCAGUGUGUGUCUUUCAUAUUUAUUGGUAUAAAUAUCUAUUCAUAAAGUCGAGUCAGUAGAUGUACGUAUAUAUAAAUACAUACAUAUAUCCUACCAGAUAUAGAGAGCAAUAAAAUACCAAUUUAUGUUUAAGAUAGUU
rnacentral:lncRNA from 1 species